AAGAAUUCCCCGAAAUGUACAAAGUACGCCGACAUAUUAAGAACGUGCACAAGAUUAAUUUGCCCGAAAUAGAAAACUUCGUUGUAUCGCUCAAAGGGAAAAGGAAGAAUGGAAAUGUAACCCAACAUUCUACUGAGAAAGCGGGAGAGCUUGCAGUAAUGAAUUAGGAAUUAAAAUUAUUUGACGCAUUGAAAAUUGAUGGGUAAUAUUUUUAACAACCACACAUAAAUAAGGGAUGUACACAUGUUUGUGGUGUGUAAAUGAGAUGUUUAAAGUGCAGUCAUACUUGGCUAUGCAAGUUCGUAUUCUACAUAUUUUGUCAUCAAAUUAAGGAAGUGAAAUAGUAAUCUAUCUUCGUGUGAACACAAAACAAUGGAGGGGUUUUAAGCACCGAGAGCGAAGGCAGAGCGAAUACGUUUUCGAUGUUCGCAUUAUGAGAGUAAAAGAUGCACUGACGAAAUGUAUGGAUCGCGUUUUGAAAGUGCUAUACGUUCUAUAUUUAUUGA